UUGGACAGUUCUGCAGUUCGUGUAUCAUCUUCUCCAGCCCUGCCUGAGAUUGGGAUCCUGAGCCCCAGUCCAGACCCUCUUCCUCCACCACUGCCAAACCUGCUUAACCUCUGUUUGCCAGAUCACGGCCAGGAGGACGAGUUCAUUCCUGAGGUGGAGCUGAAAGUUUCUUUGGUGAAGUCUGAUAAAGGAAGUUUAGGUUUCACUCUUACCAAAGGGAACGACAACAGUUGUUACAUCCAUGACAUUAUCCAGGACCCAGCUAAAGGAGACGGCCGACUGCGUCCAGGGGAUCGCAUGAUAAUGGU